ensembl:misc_RNA
AGGGACUUGCCGCAGAAGGACUCCUCAGAACUCUGCCCAGAAGAACCAAGCCAGCUCAGCAUCUGUGGAUGUCACCACCCCGGGCGGCAUCUGGCAGUGCCAUCUGUCACUACUCUUGGUUCACUUGCUUUUUGUUUUGCAGGAACUGUCUCUGCGUCCUGC